GACAGAGGCCUCAAGCGUUAGGCGGAAUCACUGGGCUUAAAGCGUGUGUAGGCGGAUCGUUAAGUGUCUUGUGAAAUCCCUCGGCUCAACCAAGGAAGUGCAUCCGAAACUGCCGAGCUUGAGUACUUAAGAGGAUCGCGGAAUUCCCGGUGUAGAGGUGAAAUUCGUAGAUAUCGGGAGGAACACCAGUGGCGAAGGCGGCGAUCUGGGAAGAUACUGACGCUGAGGUGCGAAAGCGUGGGGAGCAAACAGG
rnacentral:rRNA from 1 species